rnacentral:rRNA from 1 species
CAGGCUUAACACAUGCAAGUCGAGGGGCAGCACGUUCUUAGCUUGCUAAGGCCGAUGGCGACCGGCGCACGGGUGAGUAACACGUAUCCAACCUGCCGUCUACUCUUGGACAGCCUUCUGAAAGGAAGAUUAAUACAAGAUGGCAUCAUGAGUCCGCAUGUUCACAUGAUUAAAGGUAUUCCGGUAGACGAUGGGGAUGCGUUCCAUUAGAUAGUAGGCGGGGUAACGGCCCACCUAGUCUUCGAUGGAUAGGGGUUCUGAGAGGAAGGUCCCCCACAUUGGAACUGAGACACGGUCCAAACUCCUACGGGAGGCAGCAGUGAGGAAUAUUGGUCAAUGGGCGAGAGCCUGAACCAGCCAAGUAGCGUGAGGGAUGACUGCCCUAUGGGUUGUAAACUUCUUUUAUAAAGGAAUAAAGUCGGGUAUGGAUACCCGUUUGCAUGUACUUUAUGAAUAAGGAUCGGCUAACUCCGUGCCAGCAGCCGCGGUAAUACGGAGGAUCCGAGCGUUAUCCGGAUUUAUUGGGUUUAAAGGGAGCGUAGAUGGAUGUUUAAGUCAGUUGUGAAAGUUUGCGGCUCAACCGUAAAAUUGCAGUUGAUACUGGAUAUCUUGAGUGCAGUUGAGGCAGGCGGAAUUCGUGGUGUAGCGGUGAAAUGCUUAGAUAUCACGAAGAACUCCGAUUGCGAAGGCAGCCUGCUAAGCUGCAACUGACAUUGAGGCUCGAAAGUGUGGGUAUCAAACAGGAUUAGAUACCCUGGUAGUCCACACGGUAAACAAUGAAUACUCGCUGUUUGCGAUAUACUGCAAGCGGCCAAGCGAAAGCGUUAAGUAUUCCACCUGGGGAGUACGCCGGCAACGGUGAAACUCAAAGGAAUUGACGGGGGCCCGCACAAGCGGAGGAACAUGUGGUUUAAUUCGAUGAUACGCGAGGAACCUUACCCGGGCUUAAAUUGCAGAUGAAUUACGGUGAAAGCCGUAAGCCGCAAGGCAUCUGUGAAGGUGCUGCAUGGUUGUCGUCAGCUCGUGCCGUGAGGUGUCGGCUUAAGUGCCAUAACGAGCGCAACCCUUGUUGUCAGUUACUAACAGGUUCCGCUGAGGACUCUGACAAGACUGCCAUCGUAAGAUGUGAGGAAGGUGGGGAUGACGUCAAAUCAGCACGGCCCUUACGUCCGGGGCUACACACGUGUUACAAUGGGUGGUACAGAGGGCCGCUACCACGCGAGUGGAUGCCAAUCCCAAAAACCUCUCUCAGUUCGGACUGGAGUCUGCAACCCGACUCCACGAAGCUGGAUUCGCUAGUAAUCGCGCAUCAGCCACGGCGCGGUGAAUACGUUCCCGGGCCUUGUACACACCGCCCGUCAAGCCAUGGGAGCCGGGGGUACCUGAAGUGCGUAACCGCGAGGAGCGCCCUAGGGUAAAACUGGUGACUGGG